GUGGGCUCACGACACUUGUAGCUCACCUUCUCACUUCCCGAACCCUAGGUAAUAACCCUAGGGUACUCACAGAAAAAACCUGCGCCCAGUCUCUCUGCUUUUCUUUUCUCUUCUUUUCUUUUCUUUUCUCAUGCCACCUUAUCUCACUAGGAUCAGAUGUUUGCAUGCCCUAUCUUCUCUUCCUUUUAAAAAUAGUGCAAGAUGCAUCUUUUCAGCAUUUUCACCGUGUGAGAGGAUAAAGAUAGGUG
rnacentral:lncRNA from 1 species